UAGGGAAUCUUCGGCAAUGGGGGGAACCCUGACCGAGCAACGCCGCGUGAGUGAAGAAGGUUUUCGGAUCGUAAAGCUCUGUUGUUAAGGAAGAACGAGUGUGAGAAUGGAAAGUUCAUGCUGUGACGGUACUUAACCAGAAAGGGACGGCUAACUACGUGCCAGCAGCCGCGGUAAUACGUAGGUCCCGAGCGUUGUCCGGAUUUAUUGGGCGUAAAGCGAGCGCAGGCGGUUAGAUAAGUCGAAUGUUAAAGAUCGGGGCUCAACCCCGUAAAGCAUUGGAAACUGAUAAACUUGAGUAGUGGAGAGGAAAGUGGAAUUCCUAGUGUAGUGGUGAAAUACGUAGAUAUUAGGAGGAAUACCAGUAGCGAAGGCGACUUUCUGGACACAAACUGACGCUGAGGUACGAAAGCGUGGGGAGCAAACAGG
rnacentral:rRNA from 1 species